AUAUUAUCUUCAACAGUUUGUAACCAUAUAGAUGAAAUAUCACAUAUAGAAAACCAAUUUCUUAAUACUUGAUGUAAAAGUUCAACAGCACCAACAGAAGUUAUAAUUGCAAGCAUGCACUUACUGGGAUGGAUUAAAUUUUCUGGUGACCAAGAUACACGGACUAUUUUUGGUAAUAUAUUGGUUGCAUCAUCGAUCUUAGGUACUAAAGCAGCUUCCAUUAAGAGUGCAUAUACUUCUCUGCGUUUUAUAUUCCAUGUCAACGAAGUUAUUUCAUUUAUAAAUGCAUAUGCGGGCAAAAUAUCAGAAGCAUAUAUAAAAGAUCGUGAAAAUUUAAUAUUUGGCUGAGGAUUCAUCGGAGAAGGUAUUAAUUCCUAAAAGAAAAAUACUUUAAUCAUCUAGCUGACAAAGACUGGCGACACCUCUGUUUAUCCAAUGUGAUUCAUCGAUUAAUGUUGGAAGAAGAAUGAACAUAACAAAGUUAGAAGAAUGUCCUGUAGUUGCUAAAAUACCACGUCGCGCACUCGUCUUAUAAAUGGGACAAAAGUAAACUGAUGAAAACUGGAGUUCGGAUUUCAAUUUCGGUUUCAACCAAAUUAUAGGCAAAGGAUCGAACAUAAUUUUUGGUUUUGAUUCAUCGAGCGAAGCUGUUUCUCUGUUCCAUCUUGAACCUUCCAGGAAAAGACCCUAAAAACCAAAAGAUCAAUGCCAAAAGAGAAGGAUAAAAAAAAUUUCUUGAUGAGAAAAAAUAUAUUAUACCCUUAUGUAAACUCCAAGAGGUGGUGAACUAUCAAUCGUCGUUUCGAAUUUAGUAACUUCAAAAUCAAACUCUAUCAGGUCAAUAGGUAUCUUAUACUUGCGAGCAUAAUUCUGUAAAACGCCAGUAAGAAAGGACUGAGUAAAAAAGAAACCGGAGAUCCAAAAUACAACUGGUGCGUCAUUAUCGAUCCAAUCUUGUAAAAAUUCUAUUCUUGCUAAUAGAUCGUUUAUGUAACUUCCUAAUGGUUUCAAAGAAGAAUACGAUUUUCUAUUCCAUGCAGAAGGUACUUUACCGAUACUCAUACUGAUAAAUAUUUCCUCCAGUUCGGAUGACAUUACUACUUGACCUUUUAUGGCUUUCUGUAUAUUCGCUAACGUACUCUUUAUAACGUUUGUUAACUGAUUAAAUUUAAUAAGUUCCUGACGUAAAACAGUGUUCAUACUAUUUAUAUAGAGCACAGGAUAUUUUUCCGUAACGUAUACCAUAUUGAAUUGAGAUGGCACUUUCGAUAAUAUAUCGGCAGCAAGAUUAUAUACCGUUUCAUCCAAAUCUCGUUCAACGCCUACUCCACUUAUUUGUGGUUGUGUCAAGAGAACAUCCGAAAGUAAUUGCAUCGAUUCUUGAUUAUCUUUUGAAAUAUCUGCAUUAUCAUGCAAGCCAUAUACUUCAGGCGUCUGAUUAAUAGGUAAAUUUCGUAUAUAUUCGAUACAGCCUUCGUAAUCGGUGUCUUCAGGUAAAUGAUAAAUUCCACUUGGAGAGAAGGAAUAUCUAUAAUAAAAUAAGUUCGUAAAAGCAAAUAAUCGAUAUUAAAUAAAAAAAUAAUAUUCGAUACAUAGAAACGUAUUUACUUCCUAUUUGUAACGACUUCUGGAUUAUAGAAAUUUUUUAAUAACGAAUUAAGUAAACGUCUGUCCUUAUCAUCAGUUACUCGUCCUCCGUAAUUGCACUCUCCUGUUAGAUAUAGAAGCGCUUCGAAUGGUAUAUUGUCAUAAUCGUUUAGAAACAGCUGAAAAAGAUCGAAAUUAAAAUUUUAUGUUUGCGUAAUUACGUUUAGAGAAUAUUUUACCUGCAGUUGUAAAAUGCUAAUGCGUAAAUCAGACUCGUUAAAUUCGUAAGGAAUGUUCCAUCCUAGCGGUCCAAAGUUUCGUCUUUCUUGAACUACAGCAUGAAAGAAACAUAAAGAAAAUAAAAGACUUCUCCAUUCAAAAAUUUUGGAAGAACUAUGAAAGAAUUUCAUGUCAGAGAUAGGAUCAUUCAAAUAACUGCGCAGUAAAUUAUUCUUCAAGCCCUUUGGAGGUUCGUUUGUCAUUUUAACGCCGUUCUGUAAGAUAGAAACGGGAAAUUCAUCGGACGGAUAACUGGUAAGCCAGAGCCGAAAUUUAAGGUGCGUGUUUUCUGGUACAAUAAUUUCGUCACAAAUUCUAUCCAAUUCCUUCAUCCAGGAAAUAGCAAGAUGGCAAUUCUGCAAAAUGACCCAUUUACCGCUUUUGAUACUUUCUUCGAUCAUAUUGGUUGCUAUUGGACCUUGACCUUGACCUAAUGAAAUGGUCAUGAGGUCUUGUUUCGACAAGCCAUUAUCUUCCGCGAAUUUAAUUAGACCUGCCAUUGGAUCGGAACCCGGAGAAAGUAUGAAUAUCAAAGGAGUGACGUUACUAGAAUCAUUGUAAGAUCCUUGAAGAUCAAACGGCGGGGGCUCAACGAACGAUUGAUCCAUAUUUUCUAUUAUAAAUAUUUGGACUGCUGCCACGAUCUUGUCAGGUCUGAUACAUCGAAUAAUAAUAAGUUUUUCAAGAUUCCAUCCUUCUAAUUGUUCAAAUGGUGCUGAUAAAGUGGAGGCUUGCACUACUUCCGACCAGCAUUUAUCAGAAAGCCAAGAUGGUACUGGAUUCGGAUAAGGAUUGUCCAGCGCAACUCCGCCUGUUAGCAGAAAUGCCCAUAAAUCCUCGUUUAAUUUUUCUUCGGCACGC